AGCCAUUUUUCCACAAGAAACAUCAAUCAUAAUUCAUCACAGCACAUGUACCACUUUCUUCAUCCUUAAACAAGUAGGAUAUAUAUAUAAUUAUCUUAAUUUUAUCUCAUCACAUCACAUCAUUAUUCAUUUAUUCAGAUCAGUACUUGACAGCAAGAAAAUCCUAUGCUGCCAAUAGAUACUUAAUCAACCAAACUUUUAACAUUUAGGAUACGCAACUCCACAAGUGCUAGCAACCCUUUUGGAGUCGGGAUUGUCGACAAACUGUUUAAUAGUUGGGUUCUUAAGGUACCCACAAAAGCAUGGCUGCUGCUCCUUAAGCUUGCUGCAACAAGUGGCUGAUGGAGGCUUUGAAGACGUGAUCGCCGCCAAGCAGGGGCUGAGCUGCGAGGGGUCACAUGUCACUGCUUCCGCCGUGCGAGUUUCACCUGAAAAUAGCAGUAGCACCAGCGCCGCUGCGCAGAAGGAAACAAAGGAAAACCUCUUCAUAUUUUUCCUACACAAAAUACUAAAACUUGUGAAAAAAAUAUAAUAAAGUCGAAUUGUAUUUGGUGCAUUUUGGGCAUGAGCUGCGACACAAUUUAUAGGAGUUGGGAUGGUAAUUAUUGUUGUUUCUUUAGCCCAUGAUUGACGGUGUCAAACUUUCAUGACUCACGAGUCAAUGAGUCAAGUCUUUUGGUGGUCUAAAAGGUCCUCUGGGGAAUUGAAGACUUUGAAGGUAGAUCUGCAAAUACCACCUUUGCACAAUUGGAUUUUACGCUUACAUUUAAUGUAGAAAAAUUUUGGUAUAGCUCUGCUCUACUUCCAAUUGAAGCAUACCAUUUAUGAUUAUUAUAAUAUAAUAUAAUUAAUUAAUUAAUUUUUCAAAUUAAGUGAUUUUCAUCAAAACUUUAUAUAAAACUUACAUUUAUGAAUAGUGAAUUUCUUUUAUAAUUUUUAUUUGUUAUAAUUAGAUAAUUGUAAAAUUAUAAUAAAAUAAUUAUAAGUGAAAUAUUUUCACUUUAAAAAAAAAACUAAGUGGAAAAACAAAUGUUGACAUGGAGUAAUAUUAUUGGUAAGCAUAUAGCUGACUUGGUAGGAGUAACCUAUGUAAUAAUUUAUCAUAGUAGGAAUAACUUAUGUAAUACUUUAUCUUAAUUUUGAUUCAAUUUUAAAAUAACUGUAGAUGAAAAUUUUGUGAAAUAUCUUUAGAAUCUUUCUUUGCUUUCUUACCAGAUAGUGUUUUUGUUAUCUGUUAACUUUAAAUAUUUGACCCAAAUUAAAUGUGUAGGUUUAUUAUUGCAUAUUCUUUUUAAGUAAUUUUGUUCCAUUAUCUUAACUUUUACAUAAAAAUAUUGGGAUAAAUUUGGACUUUAGCCCAAAAGAUUUUUCUUUUUUUUUGCUUUUUAUCAUUGACCUACUUUUCUUUUUCUUCUUCUUCUUCUUCUUAUUAAAUUAGUAUUAUCUUUAAUCAAUAUUAGUUCACCCGUUGAUUUUUCCUUCAAAUUCCCUUCUUUGUUAUUGAAAGUUAGGUUAAGAUUGUAAAAACUUCAAGGCCAGAUGGAAAAUAGAAAGAUAAAAAUUGGAAGAGAAGAAAAGUAGAAAGAUGAAAAACAUUUUUUUCCCUUUCCAUUGAUAUGUAUUGUGCUUCAUUGGAAAAAUAAAAAAAAAUGUAUUUUAUUUGUAUCCAUUGUUUGGUAGAAUUAAUGAAAAAUAAAAGGAAAGAACAUAAAAAUUAUAUUAGUUUACUAUUAUAAUCUUUUAUAAAUUAAGAUAAAAAGUAAAAAAUCUUAAUAUUAUAGGCAAUCUUUUAAAUAUACAACAUAUACUCACACCUUUCCUAUUUUCUCUCUUCUUCUUUUUUUUGAUUUAGAAUGAUUUCUAUUUGUGAAUAAGUGUGAAAUUUUAACACCUUUCCUAUUUUGUUUUCUCACUUUUCUUUCAUACAAACCACAUUCACAAUUCAUUUUCUUUCUAUAUUUCCAUUCCCUCUAUUCAUCCUUUUACUUUUAAAUAUACUCACACCUUUCCCAUUUUCUCUCUUUUUUUCUUUUUGAUUUAGAGUGAUUUGUAUUUGUCAAUAAGUGUGAAAAUUUGACAUGUUUCCUAUUUUUUUUCUCACUUUUCUUUCAAACAAAAAAACAUUCAAAAUUUCUUUUCUUUCUACAUUUCCAUUUCCUCUAUUCAUCCUUUUACUUUUCCAUUAUACCAAGCACACCCUAAAAGAAAUUAAUAAUGAUUUCUCUUUGUUUCCUUUGUAUACUAAAUUUAAAGGAGAAUUUUCAUAAGAUCAAUGAAAUUAUUGAAAGUAUGGAGAUUUUGAACUGUCACAUGCAACACUUUCAACAUGCCUACAUAUAAAGUUAAAUAAUAAAAAAAAGAAGAAAAUUUUGCAAUAUAUAUAUAAAAUAGAAAUCAUUAAUUAUAUAUUUAAAUGCAAAUCAUACAUAAUGUAUGCCCUAAAUUGGAAUGUUAAAUAAUGCAAAGCAGUCCUUAAAUUGGAUGUAGCAAUUAGCCUUAGCUUUAGUUGAUUAGCUUUUUAUCUCUCGUCAUUGACUAGAUGAUAGUUGAUCCAAUGUAAUGUUUUCAUCAAGUUGCUCAUAUCUGCCUCCAAACUUUUUUUUAUCCUUAAAUUAUGAUCUCUCUUGUAUGCAUAAAAAAGUAUAUAAGUAUGAUUAAUGAGAUAUUAGAACCUUAAAUUUCCUUAAUCUUCUACUUAACCUUAAUUAAAACGUGGUUUAGUUUUUUAUUCUUGCAUCAUUUGUUCUAAAAAAAUGUCCUUGAAUCAUGACAAAUUGUUAUUGUUUGAGAUUUCAUCUAAAAUCAAAGAUGAAAAGGAAAACAAAGAAAAAAAAAAUAAGAAAAGAUGAGCGAGCUUCCACAAGAAACAUUAAAUAUAAUUCAUCAGAGCACAUGGAAAUACUAAAAGUCACUGCUUUCUUCCACCUUAAACAAGUAAAAUAUAUAAUUACCUUAAUUUUAUCUCAUCACAUCUCAUCAUUAUUCAUUUAUAUAUUCAGAUCAGUUCUUGACAGCAAGAAAAUCCUAUGCUGCCAAUAGAUAUUUUAAUCAAGCAAACUUUUUAACAUUUAGGAUAUGCAACUCCACAAGUGCUAGCAACCCUUUUGGAGUUGGGAUUGUCGACAAACUGUUUAAGAGUUGGGUUCUUAAGGUACCCACAAAAGCAUGGCUGCUGCUCCUUCAGCUUGCUGCAACAAGUGGCUGAUGGAGGCUUUGAAGACGUGAUCGCUGCCAAGCAGGGGCUGAGCUGCGAGGCCUCACAUGUCACUGCUUCCGCCGUGCGAGUUUCACCUGAAAAUAGGAGCACUACCAGCGCCACUGCACAGAAGGAAACAAAGGAAAACCUAUUCAUAUUUUUCACACACAAAAUGCUAACACUUGUGACAAAAAAUAAUAAAGUUGAUUUGUAUUUGGUGCAUUUUUGGGUAUGAGCUGCGACACAUUUUAUAGGACUUGGGAUUGUUAUUAUUGUUGUUUCUUUAGCCCAUGAUUGACGGUGUCAAUAAGUCAAGUCUUUUGCUGGCCUAAACUUGAAAAAUGCGGGUCCUUGGGGGAAUUGAAGAAGGUAGAUUUGCACAUCCCACCAUUGCACGACGGGAUUUUAUGCUUACAUUUAAUGUAGAAAAAUUUUGUUAUAGCCCCGCUGUACUUCCAAUUGAAGCAUACCAUUUAUGAUUUUUGUAAUAUAAUAUAAUAUAAUUAAUUAAUUUUUAAAAUUAAGUGAUUUUCAUCAAAAUUUUAUAUCAAACUUACAUGUAUGAAUGGUGAAUUCUUAUACAAUUUUGUAUUUAUUAUAAUUACAUAAUUGUAAAAUUAAUAAAAUAAUUAUAAAAAAAAAACUAAGCUAAGGAACCUGUAAAAUUAUCACAAUCUGCUUAGAGAAUAUCUAACAAGAUAAACAAAAAAAUAGUUAUAAUAAAUACAGAUAUUGUGAUGUCCAAAUUGUGGUAUAACCUCAUCCUUUUUUGGUGUGGCCAUGAUUUUAUUUAUAAUAAAAUAAUAAUAAUAAUAAUAAUAAAAUAAUAAUAUAUACAUUAAUCGAUAAAUAUAAAAAAAUAUUGAUAGAUAAAUAAAAAUAAUAAUAAUAGAUAAGUAUAAAAAAUAUGCAUUAAUAAAUAAAUAAUAAAAAUAAUAUUAAUGGAUAACUAAUAAAAAUAUAUAUAUUAUUAGACAUAAAAUAUAUAUAUAAAUAAUAAAAAAUAAAGAUAAUAAAACUAAAAAUAAAAUGAGUCAUUUUGUCUUAUUUGGACCAAGCCCAAUUAAUCUGGACCUGAAUCAAAUUAAGUGUCUACAAUAUUAAUUUAAUAAAAAUAUUAUACUUAUAUAUAAUUAAUAUAUAAUUUAUUUUAAAAUAAAUUUUUAUGUAUAUAAUAAAUUAAAAUCAUUAAUUAAGUUCAAAUUGAAUGCAAGUUUGAAGUUGGAUUAUACAAUAUAUAUCGGGUCAAAUCACGUAGAAUUCUUUAAGAGUCGAGUUGGCGUUGAAGCAAGCAAAAAUCUUCUUGAUUCGAUCCAUUACUAUAUUUAUUACAAAAUUUUUUUUUUGUCAUUCAAGUAAUAUGUAAUUAAUUUAUUAAAAAUUUCAAACAAAUUUUUUAUCAAAUCUUUUUAGUUUUGAGUAAAUAUCGCCAACAAUAUACUUACAAUUCUCAAAUCACUUAUUAUUUAACAAACAAGUAUUCUGUUGUCACCAGGUCUUUGAGUAUAACAACACAAGUGCCCAGAAUUCUUGUUCAAGGCAGGAAACUUGGUCUCUACUUUUGCAAAAGAUGAAAGAAAAUAUCAUGUGAAACAUAAGUAUUUAAUUCCCUAGGUCAAAUAACUUUAUCUCAGUUUCAGAUUAUGCUAAGUUUCCUAAUAAUGGAAGAGUGGACUAUUAUUCAAUGAAUUGGACCUUUAUGAACCUGAUAAUAUUGAUUCUAAUGUUAUAGUUGCCGAUCAGGAAAUGAAAAUUAAUGCACGUGUAAAUGUCCUAAAAUUGCUCAUUCGUCCUUGACUUUGCCUCUAGACGAAACCCUACUGUUUAAAAGCUAACUUUCUGAAAUGAUAUAUUGCAAAGAGAAAAGAAAGAAUGGCAGAAAAUUUCACUAAUUGAUUGUUUUGUCAUUUUAACCUUCAGAGUUUACCACAAGACAAAAUGAAUCAAUUUUGACCUUCAGCGGUAAAAAUGUCGAUGUGAUCUUAAUUUGAAAUGAGGAUCGAUACCGUUAAUUUUUUUUAUAUUACUACGUAGUAAAAACUAUGGUUACCUAAUGGCUAAAAAAUUUGAUUGAUGUUUAGUUAAAAAAUUGGUUUUGGUCUUUUUCUUGUUUUAGUUUCUAUGUUAAAAGUGUUAGAAAUAGUCUUUUCUUUAUAGUCUGAUGUGGAAGAACAAAUGUUGACAUGGAGUAAUAUUAUUGGAUAAGCAUACAGCUGAGUUUGUAGGAAGGAUUUAUAUAAUAAUUUAUUUUAUUUAAUUUUGAUUCAAUUUUAAAAUAAUCAAAGGAUGAAAUUUUUUGUGAAAUAUCUUUAGAAUCUUUCUUUGCUUCCUUACUAAAUACUGUUUGUGGUAUCAGUGCAGGUUAAUUAUUGCAUAUUUUGAAGUAAUAAUUUUGUUCCAUCAUCCUAACUUUUGCAUAAAAAUAUUGGGAUAAAUUUGGAAUAUAGCGCAAAAACUUUUUUUUUUUUUUUACUUUUUAUAAUUGACCUGCUUUCUUUCUUAUCAUUGAACUACUUUUUUUUUUUUUUCCUUCUUAAAUUAGUAUUAUCUUUAAUCAGUAUUAGAUCACCCUUUGCUUUUUCCUUAAAGUUUCCUUCUUUAUUAUUGAAAAUUAGGUUAAGAAUGUAAAUACAUCAAGGCCAGAUAAAAAAUGAAAACAUAAAAAUUGGGAGAGAGGAAAAGUAGAAAAGUGAAAAACAUUUUUUUUUUCCCAUUGGUGUGUAUUGUGCUUGAUUGGAAAAAUAAAAAAUAAAAAAAUGUAUUUUCUUUCUAUCCAUUGCUUGGUAGAAUUAAUGAAAAAUGAAAAGUAAAAAUAUAAAAACUAUAUUAUUUUACUAUUAUAACCUUUUAUAAAUUAAGAUAAAAAAUAAAAAAUCUAAAUAUUAUAGACAAUCUUUUAAAUAUACAACACAUUCUCACAUUUUUCUCAUUUUCUCUCUUUUUUUUUUUUUUUUGAUUUACAAUGAUUUGUAUUUGUGAAUAUGUGAAAAAUUGACAUCUUUCCUGUUAUUUUUUCUCACUUUUCUUUCACACAAACCACAUUCAAAUUCAUUUUCUUUCUACAUUUCCAGUCCCUCUAUUCAUCCUUUUACUCUUCAUUAUACCAAGUACACCCUAAAAGAAAUUAAUAAUGAUUUCCCUUUGUUUCCUUUGUAAACUAAAUUUAAUGGAGAAAUUUCGUAAGAUACAAUGAAAUUAUUGAAAAGUAUGGAGAUUUUGAACUGUCGUAUGCAACACUUUCAACAUAUCUAAAUAUAAAGUUAAAUAAUUAAAAAAAAAAGAACAUUUUCCAAUAUAUAUAUACAAUAGGAAUCAUCAAUUAUAUAUUUUAAUGCAAAGCUUACGUAAUGUAUACCGUAAAUUGGAAUGUUAAAUAAUGCAAAGUAGUCCUUAAAUUGGACUGUAGCAAUUGGCCUUAGUUUUAGUUUUUAGUUUAUUAGAUUUUUGUUUCUAGCCUUUGACUAGAUGAUGGUUGAUCCAACCUACUGUUUUAGUCAAGUUGCUCACUUCCGUCUUAAAUCUUUUUUUAUUUUUAAAUUAUGAUUUUUGUUGUAUGUAUGAAAAUGUAUAUAAGUAUGAUUAACGAAUUAUCGAACCUUAAAUUACCUUAAUCUUCCCCUUAACCUUAACUAAAACGUUGUUUAAUUUUUAUCCUUCUAUCAUUUGUACUAAAAAAAAUCCUUAAAUCAUGAGAAAUUGUUGUUGUUUGAGAUUUCAUCUCAAAUCAAAGAUGAAAAAAAAAAUAAGAAAAGAUGAGCCAUUUUUCCACAAGAAACAUCAAUCAUAAUUCAUCACAGCACAUGUACCACUUUCUUCAUCCUUAAACAAGUAGAAUAUAUAUAUAUAUAUAUAUAUAUAUAUAUAUAAUUAUCUUAAUUUUAUUUCAUCCCAUCACAUCAGUAUUCAUUUAUUCAGAUCAGUACUUGACAGCAAGAAAAUCCUAUGCUGCCAAUAGAUACUUAAUCAACCAAACUUUUAACAUUUAGGAUACGCAACUCCACAAGUGCUAGCAACCCUUUUGGAGUCGGGAUUGUCGACAAACUGUUUAAUAGUUGGGUUCUUAAGGUACCCACAAAAGCAUGGCUGCUGCUCCUUCAGCUUGCUGCAACAAGUGGCUGAUGGAGGCUUUGAAGACGUGAUCGCCGCCAAGCAGGGGCUGAGCUGC
rnacentral:lncRNA from 1 species